rnacentral:lncRNA from 1 species
GUUCCUGAUCAUAGGAUUGCCAAUUGGGCAUUGACAGUCCAUUAAGAUCAGUACGUGCUGUGUCUUCUCUCAGGGAGAAUGACUAGUCUCGAGUCAUUGGUGUGUGUGACAUCAAGACAAGUACGUAGGUGCUCAAUAGAGAAUGAGUUCACUGAACACGAUCAACGAAGAGUUCUCAUACUCAUGUCACAUGAGAACUUAUGGUUGGGAUAAUGCAAAGUAGUCAUUUGACCUGAGGCAUCAUAGUUGUCUUGUAGUUAGGUCCUUGAUCUUUGAUUAUGUCAAAGUCACCCCAU